GCCCCGGUAAACGGCGGCCGUAACUAUAACGGUCCUAAGGUAGCGAAAUUCCUUGUCGGGUAAGUUCCGACCUGCACGAAUGGCGUAAUGAUGGCCAGGCUGUCUCCACCCGAGACUCAGUGAAAUUGAACUCGCUGUGAAGAUGCAGUGUACCCGCGGCAAGACGGAAAGACCCCGUGAACCUUUACUAUAGCUUGACACUGAACAUUGAGCCUUGAUGUGUAGGAUAGGUGGGAGGCUUUGAAGUGUGGACGCCAGUCUGCAUGGAGCCGACCUUGAAAUACCACCCUUUAAUGUUUGAUGUUCUAACGUUGGCCCGUAAUCCGGGUUGCGGACAGUGUCUGGUGGGUAGUUUGACUGGGGCGGUCUCCUCCUAAAGAGUAACGGAGGAGCACGAAGGUUGGCUAAUCCUGGUCGGACAUCAGGAGGUUAGUGCAAUGGCAUAAGCCAGCUUGACUGCGAGCGUGACGGCGCGAGCAGGUGCGAAAGCAGGUCAUAGUGAUCCGGUGGUUCUGAAUGGAAGGGCCAUCGCUCAACGGAUAAAAGGUACUCCGGGGAUAACAGGCUGAUACCGCCCAAGAGUUCAUAUCGACGGCGGUGUUUGGCACCUCGAUGUCGGCUCAUCACAUCCUGGGGCUGAAGUAGGUCCCAAGGGUAUGGCUGUUCGCCAUUUAAAGUGGUACGCGAGCUGGGUUUAGAACGUCGUGAGACAGUUCGGUCCCUAUCUGCCGUGGGCGCUGGAGAACUGAGGGGGGCUGCUCCUAGUACGAGAGGACCGGAGUGGACGCAUCACUGGUGUUCGGGUUGUCAUGCCAAUGGCACUGCCCGGUAGCUAAAUGCGGAAGAGAUAAGUGCUGAAAGCAUCUAAGCACGAAACUUGCCCCGAGAUGAGUUCUCCCUGACUCCUUGAGGGUCCUGAAGGAACGUUGAAGACGACGACGUUGAUAGGCCGGGUGUGUAAG
rnacentral:rRNA from 1 species